AACAACAAUCAUAUGCUUCUUAACUACAACAAGAAUCCCAAUUUCCCUUCCAGAAUUUCUCAAACCCUUCUUUUAUUAAAGUUUGUUUUGUUCUCCCAAAUUGAAAAAAAGUCCAAAAUUUUGCUUUCAUUAUAGCAAGAAUAGUUUGGGAUUUUGUGUUUGAGAAAUUAUUAAAUUAGAGAUGAGUUUUCAAGAUCUAGAGCUGGUCAGAGAUUGGGGGUGUCGAAUGGAUUGCAUAAAUGGGAAGCAAAGUCCGACCCAAGCCGUAGCUUUUAGAAUAUCCUAUAUCAAUGCGGCAUAUACACCUUUCAGUGUCCCUGAUACCCUAGGUAUCCACAGGAUACACCCAAGCUCUAUGAAAAGCUGCAUAAAACUAGGCUACCAUAAGUAGAAUUCUGGCAAUCUGUGAUAAUCCAUUGAAAGGGUUCUGGUGUGAUCUG
rnacentral:lncRNA from 1 species